GAUGAACGCUGGCGGCAUGCUUUACACAUGCAAGUCGGACGGGAAGUGGUGUUUCCCGUGGCGGACGGGUGAGUAACGCGUAAGAACCUGCCCUUGGGAGGGGAACAACAGCUGGAAACGGCUGCUAAUACCCCGUAGGCUGAGGAGCGAAAGGAGGAAUCCGCCCAAGGAGGGGCUCGCGUCUGAUUAGCUAGUUGGUGAGGUAAUAGCUUACCAAGGCCGUGAUCAGUAGCUGGUCCGAGAGGAUGAUCAGCCACACUGGGACUGAGACAAGGCCCAGACUCCUACGGGAGGCAGCAGUGGGGAAUUUUCCGCAAUGGGCGAAAGCCUGACGGAGCAAUGCCGCGUGGAGGUAAAAGGCCUACGGGUCAUGAACUUCUUUUCCUGGAGAAGGAACAAUGACGGUAGCUGGGGAAUAAGCAUCGGCUAACUCUGUG
rnacentral:rRNA from 1 species